rnacentral:rRNA from 1 species
CCAAUGGAGAGUUUGAUCCUGGCUCAGGACGAACGCUGGCGGCGCGCCUAACACAUGCAAGUCGAGGGAGAACCGGACCUUCGGGUCCGGGGAGACCGGCGAACGGGUGAGUAACACGUGAGGAACCUGCCCUGUAGACCGGAAUAACCAUGGGAAACCGUGGCUAAUGCCGGAUGUGCUCCACGAUCCGCAUGGACCGUGGAGGAAAUGGUCAGCCGCUACAGGAUGGCCUCGCGGCCUAUCAGCUAGUUGGUGGGGUGACGGCCCACCAAGGCCCCGACGGGUAGCUGGCGUGAGAGCGCGUUCAGCCACACUGGGACUGAGACACGGCCCAGACUCCUACGGGAGGCAGCAGUGGGGAAUCUUGCGCAAUGGGCGAAAGCCUGACGCAGCGACGCCGCGUGCGGGAAGAAGGCCUUCGGGUUGUAAAC